GCGGGUGUAGCCAAGUGGAAAGGCAACGGCUUCCCAAGCCGUCAUUCGCGGGUUCGAAUCCCGUCACCCGCUCCA
rnacentral:tRNA from 1 species